ensembl:lncRNA
GCCGUUUGCCGGGACUGAGCCGCUGUUGUCGCUGGUAUCCCGGGAGCAGCGCCGGGAAGUGGAGUCGUCGUAUUUUCGGGCAGCCGGCGGCCCACGGGGAUGGGACGUCACGGGGCUGUGCUGACGCCAAAACCCUUCCACCCUUUAUUAGCCUGUCGCCCUUCUUUCGUGUUUACAGCAAAUAUUUUCCGACGUCUAAUGUGUCCCACUUACUGUGCCACGUGCGAGGGUGCACGUGUCAGGCAAGAUCGCUGUUCCAAGGAGGCUGAGAACAGAUAACUUGAAGCCCAAACAGGACAGAAAAUCACAGGCCAAAGUCAUCUGAAGGAAGGCUGACACCCAUGACAGACAACCGGGAUGUUGCUCUCCAUUCAUCCCAAGGGCAGCAAAGUCUAUCCUGGAACUUGGAAUGGUUUCUUUAUACAGACAAGUACGACUGGCUCCAAGAGAAGAGUUGCUACCACUAACCCCUACACGCUGCCUUAAAAGAGUUGGUGGUAGGUGUUGGAAAAUUAAUCUGAGUAAUUCUUUGAAACAAAGAAUCCCAUGCACAAUAGCAGCAAAACCCAUAACCAGACAUAAAUUAAUAAGAAAUUUGCAAGACCUAUAAGAAGAAAAGUAUAUAGGAUUACAGAAUUUUAAAAGUCCCAAAUCAUUGAAGAAAUACACCACAGUCCUGGAUGGAAGAGUUAAUAUUACAAAUAUAUCACGCAUUCCUAAAUUAAUCAACAAAUUAUAAGCAAACCCAAUUAAAAUUGUAACAAGAUUUUUUUUUACAUUUAAAAAAAAAUGAGACGAGAUCUUGCUAUGUUGCCUGAGCUGGUCUCAAACUUCUAAGCUCAAGCGAUCUUCCUGCCUUGGCCUCUCAAAAUGCUGGCAUUACAAGUGUGAGCCGCCAUGCCCAGCCAUAACAAGACUUUUUUUUCUUUUUUUUUUCAGACUGGGUCUCACUGUUGCCCAGGUUGGAGUGCAGUGGCGUGAUCUCAGGUCACUGCGACCUCUGCCUCCCAGGUUCAAGUGAUUCUCCUGCGUCAGCCUCCCGAGUAGCUGGGAUUACAGGUGCGCCCCACCAUGCCCAGCUAAUUUUUGUAUUUUUAGUAGAGGCUGAGGUGAGCAGAUCACUUCAGCCCAGGAGUUUGAGACCAGCCUGGCGAACAAAGUGAGACCUCGUUGCUACAAGAAAUAAAAAAUUAGCUGGGUGGCACAUGCCUGUGGUCCCAGCUACUCUCAAGGGUGAGGUGGGAGGACUGCUUGAGCCCAGGAGGUCAAGGAUGCAGUGAGCCAAGAUUAUACCACUGCACUCCAGCCUGGGUGACAGAGCAAGAACAUAUCUCAAAAAAAAAUGCACAAGGCUUUUGCUUCAGUGAUUCCAUUUCUAAGACUAUAUCCAAUGUACCCAAAUAUGCAUGUCUGAGAUGUUCAUUGGAGUAUUGGUUGUUAAAGGAAACAGUUGGAGACAAUCUAAAUGGGGAGAUAAUACAGCUGUGGUAUAUCCAUAGUAUGCAUGCUCUACAGUUGUUAAGAGUGGCAAUGGCCUAUUCAUCUGGACCUAGAUAGAUAUCAAAGGCACACUGCUAAUAUUUAAAAAGAUGAUCUGGAAAAUAUGUAUAGCAUGAUAUAUACAUAUAAUUAAUCCAUAUAGGUACAUGAAGUUCCUCAGGAGACUGGGAGGAUGCACAGCCGGGUAAACCUGUAGAGCAUGGAGACAUUAAAUGGGAGGUGAUGGAAAAGUCCCUCAGUUUUUUGUUUGAGACAGUCUCGCUCUGUUGCCCAGGCUGCAGUGCAGUGGCAUGAUCUCAGCUCACUGCAACCUUCACUUCCUAGGUUCAAGCGAUUCUCCUACCUCAA